rnacentral:rRNA from 1 species
UACGAAGGGGGCUAGCGUUGCUCGGAAUCACUGGGCGUAAAGCGCACGUAGGCGGAUCUUUAAGUCAGGGGUGAAAUCCUGGAGCUCAACUCCAGAACUGCCUUUGAUACUGGGGAUCUCGAGUCCGGAAGAGGUGAGUGGAACUCCGAGUGUAGAGGUGAAAUUCGUAGAUAUUCGGAAGAACACCAGUGGCGAAGGCGGCUCACUGGUCCGGUACUGACACUGAGAGACGAAAGCUAGGGGAGCGAAUGGG